CAUUUCUUACUAAAAUAAUUGUAAGUAACACCUGCUCAAUGAACAUUUAAAUAGCCGCGGAAAUUUAACCGUGCUAAGGUAGCAUAAUCAUUAGCCUCUUAAUUAGAGGCUAGCAUGAACGGUGAAACACUUCAAUUACUUUUUUGGUUAAUAUUUUUAAACUUAAAUUAAGAAUAAAAAUGUUCUUAUUAAUAAAAAAGACGAUAAGACCCUUUUGAACUUUACUUCAGUUUAGCUGGGGCAGCUAAAUAAAAAUAAUCUUAUAUUAAAUAUUCACUUAAACGACCCAGUAUAAUUGAUUAAUUGACCAAGUUACCAUAGGGAUAACAGCGUAAUAUCUUUUUAAAGCUCUUAUUAAAAAAGAAGAUUGCGACCUCGAUGUUGAAUUAAUGUAACUUUACUGAUGCAGUAAUUUUAAAAGUAGGUCUGUUCGACCUUUAAAACAUUACAUGAU
rnacentral:rRNA from 1 species